rnacentral:rRNA from 1 species
AGGGAACCGCCUGAACUGAAACAUCUAAGUAGGGCGAGGAAGAGACAUCAACCGAGAUUCCGUAAGUAGUGGCGAGCGAACGCGGAAGAGGCCAAACCGAGGGUAGAAAUACCUUCGGGGUUCGGACUGCUUUAAGGACUGCAAUUGUUAACCGAAGGGUAUGGGAAGGCCCACCGAAGAGUGUGAGAGUCACGUAGGUGAAAACGAAAGCAGCUGCGCAGGAUCCAGAGUACGGCCAGACACGUGAAACCUGGUCGGAAUACGGGGGGACCACCCUCCAAGCCUAAAUACUACCCAGUGACCGAUAGCGUAUAGUACUGUGAAGGAAAGGUGAAAAGAACCCCGGGAGGGGAGUGAAAUAGAACCUGAAACCCUGUGCCUACAAGCACAUAGAGCGCGUCAAAGCGUGAUAUGGUACUUUUUGUAGAACGGUCCGGCGAGCGACUGUAUGCAGCGAGGUUAAGUUGCUGGAGCAAUGGAGCCGAAGCGAAAGCGAGUCUGAAUAGGGCGUUUAGUUGCAUGCAGUGGGCCCGAAACCGGGUGACCUAUCCAUGGUCAGGUUGAAGUGGAGGUAAAACUCCAUGGAGGACCGAACCGACCUCCGUUGAAAAGGCGGCGGAUGAACUGUGGAUAGCGGAGAAAUUCCAAUCGAACCCGGAGAUAGCUGGUUCUCCCCGAAAUAGUUUUAGGACUAGCCUCAUGUUAGAUUUCCGGAGGUAAAGCACUGAAUAGCCUAGGGCCCGAGAGGGUACCGAAGCUUAUCAAACUAAGAAUGCCGGAAAAUUGAUGCAUGGGAGUCAGACUGUGUGAGAUAAGUCUCAUAGUCAAAAGGGAAACAGCCCAGAUCUACAGCUAAGGUCCCAAAGCAGGUUUAAGUGGAAAAGGAUGUGAAGUUGCUAAGACAACCAGGAUGUUGGCUUAGAAGCAGCCACUCAUUCAAAGAGUGCGUAAUAGCUCACUGGUCGAGUGGUUUUGCGCAGAAAAUGUAACGGGGCUAAGUGUUCAACCGAAGCUUAGGCAUUGCAGUAAUGCAUUGGGUAGGGGAGCGUCGUAUGCGGGGCGAAGUCAGAGCGGAAGCACUGGUGGACUGCAUACGAGUGAGAAUGCCGGAAUAAGUAGCGAGAAUUAUGUGAGAAUCAUAAUGGCCGAAAAUCUAAGGUUUCUUGGGGAAGGUUCGUCCGCCCAAGGUUAGUCGGGAGCUAAGCUCAGGCCGAAAGGCGUAGGCGAUGCACAUACGGUAGAAAUUCCGUAACCACCGAACAUUUAAGCUAGAGGGACGCUUUCUUUAAGGUUAUCCCGGGCGAUGGUUGCCCCGGGCGUAAGGGACCGAAAUAUAGUAGGGAAGUAACUGGCGAGAGAGACGAGAAAAGCUCUAGUGUAUACUAAGGUGCCCGUACCGCAAACCGACACAGGUAGAUGGGAUGAGUAUUCUAAGGCCAACGGGAGAAGGGUUGUUAAGGAACUCGGCAAAUUGGCCCCGUAACUUCGGGAUAAGGGGCGCCUGCGAGAGCAGGCCGCAGUGAAAAGGCCCAAGCGACUGUUUAGCAAAAACACAGCUCUCUGCUAAAUCGAAAGAUGACGUAUAGGGGGUGACGCCUGCCCGGUGCUGGAAGGUUAAGGGGAGUGCUUAGCGCAAGCGAAGGUGCGAACUUAAGCCCCAGUAAACGGCGGCCGUAACUAUAACGGUCCUAAGGUAGCGAAAUUCCUUGUCAGGUAAGUUCUGACCCGCACGAAUGGCGUAACGAUUUGGGCACUGUCUCAACAGCCCGCCCGGCGAAAUUGUAGUACCGGUGAAGAUGCCGGUUUCCCGCAACUAGACGGAAAGACCCCAUGGAGCUUCACUGUAGCUUGAUAUUGGAUCUCGGUAUUCCAUGUACAGGAUAGGUGGGAGGCUAGGAAGUAAGCGCGCCAGCGUUUAUGGAGUCAACCUUGGGAUACCACUCUUGGGAUAUUGGGAUUCUAACCUGCGACCAUGAAUCUGGUCGGGGGACACUGUCAGGUGGGCAGUUUGACUGGGGCGGUCGCCUCCAAAAGAGUAACGGAGGCGCUCAAAGGU